rnacentral:rRNA from 1 species
UACGUAGGGUGCAAGCGUUAUUCGGAAUUACUGGGCGUAAAGCGUGCGCAGGCGGUGAUGUAAGUCUGUUGUGAAAUCCCCGGGCUCAACCUGGGAACUGCAUCUGUGACUGCAUUGCUGGAGUGCGGCAGAGGGGGAUGGAAUUCCGCGUGUAGCAGUGAAAUGCGUAGAUAUGCGGAGGAACACCGAUGGCGAAGGCAAUCCCCUGGGCCUGCACUGACGCUCAUGCACGAAAGCGUGGGGAGCAAACAGG